rnacentral:rRNA from 1 species
CCUACGGGAGGCUGCAGUGGGGAAUAUUGCACAAUGGGCGCAAGCCUGAUGCAGCCAUGCCGCGUGUGUGAAGAAGGCCUUCGGGUUGUAAAGCACUUUCAGCGGGGAGGAAGGCGUUAAGGUUAAUAACCUUGUCGAUUGACGUUACCCGCAGAAGAAGCACCGGCUAACUCCGUGCCAGCAGCCGCGGUAAUACGGAGGGUGCAAGCGUUAAUCGGAAUUACUGGGCGUAGAGCGCACGCAGGCGGUCUGUCAAGUCGGAUGUGAAAUCCCCGGGCUCAACCUGGGAACUGCAUUCGAAACUGGCAGGCUAGAGUCUUGUAGAGGGGGGUAGAAUUCCAGGUGUAGCGGUGAAAUGCGUAGAGAUCGGGAGGAAUACCGGUGGCGAAGGCAGCCCCCUGGACAAAGACUGACGCUCAGGUGCGAAAGCGUGGGGAGCAAACAGGAUUAGAUACCCGAGUAGUC